rnacentral:rRNA from 1 species
GACGAACGCUGGCGGCGUGCUUAACACAUGCAAGUCGAACGGAAAGGCCCCUUCGGGGGUACUCGAGUGGCGAACGGGUGAGUAACACGUGAGUAACCUGCCCUUGACUUCGGGAUAACUGCAGGAAACUGGGGCUAAUACCGGAUAGGAAUCCGUGCUGCAUGGUGGGGGUUGGAAAGCUUCGGCGGUUUUGGAUGGACUCGCGGCUUAUCAGCUUGUUGGUGGGGUAGUGGCUUACCAAGGCUUUGACGGGUAGCCGGCCUGAGAGGGCGACCGGCCACAUUGGGACCGAGAGACGGCCCAGACUCCUAAGGGAGGCAGAAGUGGGGAAUAUUGAACAAUGGGCGGAAGCCUGAUGCAGCAACGCCGCGUGCGGGAUGACGGCCUUCGGGUUGUAAACCGCUUUCAGCAGGGGCGAAGCUUGUGGUGACGGUACCUGCAGAAGAAGCACCGGCUAACUACGUG